AGUGAACGCUGGCGGCGUGCCUAAUACAUGCAAGUCGAGCGAACACACGAUAAGCUUUCUCCUCUGACGUUAGCGACUGACGGGUGGGUGACACGUGGAUAACCUACCUAUAAGACUUGGGUAACUUCGUGGAACCGGUGCUACUACUGUCUAAUAUAUUGUACCGCAUGGUUCAAUAGUUAAAGACGGUUUUGGUGUCACUCAGAGAUGGAUCCGCGGCGCCUUGGCUAUGUGGUAAGGUAACGGCUUACCAAGGCAACGAUGCUUAUCCGGCCUGAUAGAGUGACACGCCACACUGGAACUGAGACACGGUCCAGACUCCUACGGGAGGCAGCAGUAGGGAAUAUUGCACAAUGGGCGGAAGCUUGACGGAGCAACGCCGCGUGAGUGAAGAAGGUCUUCGGAUCGUAAAACUCUGUUAUUAGGGAAGAAAAGAUGUGUAAGUAACUACGCACGUUCUGACGGUACCUAAACAGAAAGCACCGGCUAACUACGUG
rnacentral:rRNA from 1 species